GCUUACGGCCAUACCACCUUAGGCACGCCCGAUCUCGUCUGAUCUCGGAAGCUAAGCAGGGUCGGGCUUGGUUAGUACUUGGAUGGGUGACCGCCUGGGAAUACCAGGUGCUGUAAGCA
rnacentral:rRNA from 1 species